UAUUAUGUGAUAACAUUUACUAGAAUAAAACAAAAUUAGAUGUGGUGCUGACUUUUGAUUAAUAAGGCACUUUUGAUGCAUAAAAAAUACAAUAGGCAAAUUUUGUUAGAGUCUUGUUAAUUAGGAAUCUUGUUGAUAACUUCAAAGAAAGUAAUGUAAUGCGAACGAAAAUCGGGGAAUAAUUCCUACUGUUAAAAAUAAUUACAUAAAAUCGUUAGUCAUGCAUUUAUAUAAACAAACGGGAUUUGUUUGCAAAUCAAAUGCUAAUACAUCACGACAGAAUUGUGAUUCAACCGAAAUGCACAUGAUGAUAGAUAGAUUAGAAGACUUGAUUAUAAACUAUGGAUCUAGCUAUUGGAGAUUGAAAAAUAAUCAAUUUGUUGAUUUCAUUAAUCGUUAUUGUGUUUAUCCAACAACAUGUAGUAUUUUAAGAAUGCAGUUGCUUUGGAGGUUUGUGGUAAUGAUAGAGUAUUUCAAAAAUAUUAGAGGGAAUCAUUGCUCUUCCUAUGCUUCUGAUACAAUACCAAAAUUGAUAACAGGAUACAAGUUCAAAAAAAAACAUUGGUCCGAAGGGUUUACUCGCUAUAAUAGCAAUCCAGAUAGAUUGUCCAGAUCUCCAGAUCCAGAUCGACCAAUCCCAAUUUCAACCCAUUCCAGAUGGAGCUAGGCUAAUUGCUAUGAUAGCUGCUAGGAUGAAAGGACGUCCAAUUUGACAGCCUACUGACCGAUUUUGGUACCUGGUUUAGAGCAAAUUAGCGAUAAGUUCGGUUAAGGUCUUGAAGUAGGGUUGAAUAAGGUCAACGCAAACAGCUGGUAAAAAUUAGGCUCCAUCGAGGAUAGUAGCCAAAGCAAUUAGAAGAAGACAGGCAUAUGAUUGGACAAAUGGGCAAAAUUAUCUACGCGAGCGAAGGUUAAAGUAAUCGAAAUGAAGUCACUAACAGAUUGAUACACACGGACAACACAGAGUAACAAGCUGAUCAUGAAGAUUAUUAAAAUAGGAUGGGAAAUUAAUUUUUAAAUGCUUAACAAUUAAAAAAAGAGAUCAUAAUGACUACUUAAGGUAGUUGCAAUCUUACAUCGCAAAAAAGGGAAAUGAAAAUUCAUUACGGACAAAAUGAAACAUAAGGUUAAAAAAAAGAAGAAAGAAGAAAAUUUAAGAGCAUAUACAAUAACAUGUUUGAUAUUUUGCCACACCUUCCAGUACGUGUAGAUAGCAAAAGUUGGUGCAGGAAAAAUCAUUCCUUCAUGGAAUAAAGAGUAACUGACAAACAUUUUGGACGAGUCCCAGGUCAGUAGAUUAUACGUGAGAUAAAAAAAAAGAAUUCAAGUUUGUAAAACCAGCCCGUAAGACCAGCCCGUAAGACCAGCUAAGAUGAUAUCUGAAAGAUAAUGUCCAUAAUAAUGUAAUGAAAGAUUAUGUAAUGUCUAUUGAUCAUGGUGAGACUGACAAAAGCUAAAAUGCAUCGGAAUGAGUUAGGAAAAUAGGGAAGAGUAAAGUUAACAAGAAGUAUAGAUACAAAAGAUAGUUCGAAGAAGCGACGUAUUGUAGGAAUUGUGAUAAAUAGAAGAAGUAAAUAAGACAAGAAUCAAACAUUACUGCAAAUAUGUAGAAUAUACGUAAUUUAUGUCAAAUAGGCUUUGAGAUGUUGAAAUAAGUAAGCGUUGGAAUAGGAAUCUACCUUGCAAAAAAAAAAAAGUCAGACAUGAGUCAUCGAUGAGGAGAGUUAUAAAUGUAGAUGUGUUUGAAGUGUUAAGAAUGAAGUCAAGCAAAGAAAGCGAGAAGGAAGAUGACACGGAAUUUAUAGGAGCAAUGCAGAAGCAAGUGACACCGGGUAGAAUUGAACCAACGAAGGAUGUUGAAGCGGUUGAGCGCAGAUAUCAAAGAAAAAUCAGCUGUAGUGACAGUUACAUGUAUCGGAUAAGUAUUGAGUUUGGGAAUGUUAAAUGAAAAAUGAAAUUAUUUUGAAAAAUAAUGUUUUUUUUGCAGCUUAUCUUUAGCGUAAUGCACAGGACUGUACCCUGAAUCAUGAUGCAGAGAAGUCCUUCGAGGUAGCCGAGACACGGAAAUGUACUACACGCAAUAGGAUUUCAGAACACGGAGAGAUGGAGCACAUAUAUGAUACAACCAUCAAGUUACUAAUGCUAUGAAGGAAGUGGAAGAAUAGAAGAUCGAGAUGUAGAUGUACAAAAAAAAAUCAUUUGCAGGAAACCACGACAGAGUAGUCAGAAUCAUGAAGUAUUAUGACAAUUAAAAAGUUAGACCAUGCAAAUUUGGUUUUUGUUAGGAUUUAAGGAUUAGACGUAGAUGUAUAUACAAUCGAUAUUGUAAACCGUGAAUUGUUUGCUUUAAGUUGAAAACCAUAGAAAAUCUGUAUAACAGAAUAUAAGAGAGGCUUUUUUUUCACUGUUUUUCUUGGAGGAGGAAAGGGAUUGUAGAAUGCAAUAGCAGUGACAGAGAGGGACAGCAUGUACAAGUAGGGAGAAUAGGUUGACAGUUGUUAUUGAACCACCGCCGAAGACGGGCGAAUAAAUAUUACACCGAACCAGAACUCUACAGAAAUAAACUGUAUUUACGUUAUUGUGUUAUACUUGCUGUUUAAGCAAUACGCUUGCUGUAAAUUUGAAUUCGGUAAACAAGUGACUUCAAGAUAUUCUAUUGUCCAUGCCCAAUCCCACCCAACUUGCCCCACCAGGGAUUUGCGAGUCUACGCCAGGGAACUGCGUUCAGUCCGAGAGUCCGGCAGUGAUCCAAAAUACCAAAAAGGAUCCCACGUCCGGAAUUAUGUGUUGUGCUCACUUGAGUUGA